GCAAGUCGAGCGCGCCCUUCGGGGUGAGCGGCGGACGGGUGAGUAACGCGUGGGAACGUGCCCUUUGCUGCGGAAUAGCCACUGGAAACGGUGAGUAAUACCGCAUGAGCCCUUCGGGGGAAAGAUUUAUCGGCAAGGGAUCGGCCCGCGUUGGAUUAGGUAGUUGGUGGGGUAAUGGCCUACCAAGCCGACGAUCCAUAGCUGGUUUCAGAGGAUGAUCAGCCACACUGGGACUGAGACACGGCCCAGACUCCUACGGGAGGCAGCAGUGGGGAAUCUUAGACAAUGGGCGCAAGCCUGAUCUAGCCAUGCCGCGUGAGUGACGAAGGCCCUAGGGUCGUAAAGCUCUUUCGCCUGUGAAGAUAAUGACGGUAGCAGGUAAAGAAACCCCGGCUAACUCCGUGCCAGCAGCCGCGGUAAUACGGAGGGGGUUAGCGUUGUUCGGAAUUACUGGGCGUAAAGCGCGCGUAGGCGGACCAUCAAGUUGGGGGUGAAAUCCCGGGGCUCAACCCCGGAACUGCCUCCAAAACUGGCGGUCUGGAGUUCGAGAGAGGUGAGUGGAAUUCCGAGUGUAGAGGUGAAAUUCGUAGAUAUUCGGAGGAACACCAGUGGCGAAGGCGGCUCACUGGCUCGAGACUGACGCUGAGGUGCGAAAGUGUGGGGAGCAAACAGGAUUAGAUACCCUGGUAGUCCACACCGUAAACGAUGAAUGCCAGUCGUCGGCAAGCAUGCUUGUCGGUGACACACCUAACGGAUUAAGCAUUCCGCCUGGGGAGUACGGCCGCAAGGUUACAACUCAAAUGAAUUGACGGAA
rnacentral:rRNA from 1 species